rnacentral:rRNA from 1 species
GGCCGCGGGAAUUCGAUUCAGGCCUAACACAUGCAAGUCGGACGGUAGCACAGGGGAGCUUGCUCCCCGGGUGACGAGUGGCGGACGGGUGAGUAAUGUCUGGGAAACUGCCCGGUGGAGGGGGAUAACUACUGGAAACGGUAGCUAAUACCGCAUAACGUCUUCGGACCAAAGUGGGGGAUCUUCGGACCUCACGCCACCGGAUGUGCCCAGAUGGGAUUAGCUAGUAGGUGGGGUAACGGCUCACCUAGGCGACGAUCCCUAGCUGGUCUGAGAGGAUGACCAGCCACACUGGAACUGAGACACGGUCCAGACUCCUACGGGAGGCAGCAGUGGGGAAUAUUGCACAAUGGGCGCAAGCCUGAUGCAGCCAUGCCGCGUGUAUGAAGAAGGCCUUCGGGUUGUAAAGUACUUUCAGCGGGGAGGAAGGCGGUGAGGUUAAUAACCUCGCCGAUGACGUACCCGCAGAAGAG